rnacentral:lncRNA from 1 species
AGAACAAUUGCGCGUGCACGAGAUGACUCCAUGUUUUACUUUCAGUGUUUGAACGAAUACAACAUCGCCCGGUUGGAAUAUUAUCGCUAUUUUACGAGAAAAAUCGCAUAAAAAUGUAUUUUAAACAGCGUUUGACAUGCUUCGAAGUACGGUAAUGGAAUAUUUUGACAUUUUUUGUCAUGAAACGCGCCGGGCGCGUCACCCUUCGGAUAGUUACCUGAACGCAUGAACAAAACGGAGCUAUUUCAAUAUAACUAUGGAUUAUUUCAAACCAAAACAACAUUUGUUGUUGAAGUAGAAGUCCUGGGAGUGCAUUCUGACGAAGAACAGCAAAGUUUGGAGGAAGAAGGAUACCUUGACCUGUCGAAUUCUAUCAACCUCUUCUGUGUGGAAUAUGUGUUCCUACCUCGUCUGCAGGCAGAUCUGCAGAAUUUCACAGUUAUUUCAGCUGUGUCGGUGAACCCCUCCCUCCAGCAUCUGAACUGGCUGACACAGAGGGCACAGCAUGAUCAUAGACAGCCCUUACAGAAUUACCCACCAACAAAGGACCAAGCAGCGGAAGAAGGCUG